AUCAGCUGACGAGUCCCGAAUAGGACGAAACGUGCAUCCUGGAU
rnacentral:hammerhead_ribozyme from 1 species